ACCGGCACUGCUGAGGAAGCAGCGUCUCAGCCCCUAUCCAGGGUGAUGUCCUGCGUACCACUAUUCUAACAAGCGGGCCCCUCGACGGCAGAACGUUGCCUAUCGUACUUGCUCUCUGGUACCUCCCCUUUGUGAAGGAGUCACGCGAGAGGCUACUGAACGCACACCACACGCCCACUGGACUACGGGGUGGGACCUGAAACCGGAUCACCAAAGAAACCAGGGUCGGCUCUCUGGAGGAAGGUUUAACUUGAGCCUAGACCGGUUCCGACUCCUUUCCCGAGCCCUCCCGACGUCACGGGACGUUCUGGGCUUUUCCUGAACUAGCACUGGACUACGUGUCCCGGCAUGCGUUGCGUGCUGCCACUCAACGAAUGCGAGGCAUGCUGGGACUUGUAGUCUUGGAGCCACUGCCUAGACCAUCACUGUGGAUUGCAGCUGACGUGACCCUCUGGCUACUGACCGUCCAGCACAGCUUACCGUGCCCAGCGCCUAUGACCAUCUGUGAUAUCCACUCUUAUGGAUGUUCUGGUUUUUCUUCUUCAAAGCGGUCCAAGAAUCCUGUGAUAUUCUUAUAAAUCUUCCCCAUCUUUUACUCCACUUGGCUCCCUUGAAGAAGGCGUUAUCAUUCCUGUUGGGUCUACUCUUAGGAGACGCCUGUGAGGGGAGGGGCUAGGCAUAGACUCAGGCCGACAUGGUCCAUGUCUGGUGCUCUGUUCUUUUUUUUUUUUUUUUUGAGGAAGAUUAGCCCUGAGCUAACUGCUGCCUAUCCUCCUCUGUCUGCUAAGGAAGACCGGCCCUGAGCUAACAUCCAUGCCCAUCUUCCU